rnacentral:lncRNA from 1 species
UAAAAGCUGUAAAACCAGUAUUUAUGAAACGAAUAUAUUAUAAGCUCAUGUACAUCACAAUUAUAGGCGUAUACGAUUUUAUUUCAUAAUAAGAUAAAUUUCGUCUGUUCUUUAAGAAAUCGAUGCAUGAAUGAUCAACUAUAUAUAUUGUAGUAAUUCAUUAACUAGAUAUCAAAACAUGACUCAUUGUAACAGAAAAAGGAGGCAUGCCAUAAAUGAUACCACUUUAAUUUAUCCAACUAUAUAUUUUGGAAGAUAUUGAAGCUGUUGAACGAAGUGCGGUUUAUCUUUGAAAAUAGUUUAAAUAUACAUCCAUUACUAGCAACAAAACCAAUGAUGCUGGACAUCAAACCAAAAUGAAACA